UGCAGCUUUGGCUGGCUUUGGCAUACGAUGCAAUGGGUCGACAUGCGGAUUGUAUUGCUGUGUACAAGCGUUUGGAGAGCUCUCAUCCUAACAAGAACCUUCGAAAGCAGGCUGCUGAUUUACGAUUCAUUGCCGAGGCGCCCAAGCUGAAAAUUUCACAGGAUGAAAUGGUCAAAAUCCCUUUGAUGGAAAAGGACUUCGAUAGGUACACUUUCUGAGCAGAAUUGCCUAAUGUUUGUAAAUUGCACCGGGUUCUUAAGUUUUUGUCUAAUGAUAUCUUGAGUCGGUAAUACGCCCAUAUUUUCUGGGAGCUUCUCAUAUGAGCUUAGUGAUAGCAAAAUUGUGUAUUCCCUGUGAUUGAUUAGAGACGAAGGAAAUGGAACCUUUGUAUAAUGAAUAUAACAGCAGGAUUAACUCAGCUGAUCAGUCCAUACCUGCUAUGCAUACAGGAAAGCUAAGAGAUGGAGCCAGCUUGUGAAAGAGAAAAGGAGAAAGCCUAUGAAAAAAUCAGCUCAAUCUAAGGACUAUCUAGAAGAUUGGUUGGUAUGGAAGCCUCCUCGUUGGGAAAAAAGUCCGUACUUUUGGGUAGCUAUAACAGUUUGGCUUACUUUGGUUGGGUUUUCACUCAUUUUUCAAAACUGAUCCAUUUCUUCAUUUUAGAUGGCAUGUGGAUUCUUGUAGUAUGAUAAUUACUCGACUAAUGAAGCCCUCAUCAAGGAGGUUGUACAAAAUGGAAGUCUCAAGUUUGGUAGAGCCAACCUGCAAUAGAUUUGAAGGAUGUUGUGAACAUUGUAGACUGAAGUCCAUGCAUGUAAGUAUUGCAUUUUACAUCGUGGCUAAGCAAAAUCUGUAACAAUUUUUUCCCACACAUGGACUGGGGCUUAACAAAGGCAUGUUUCAAUGUGAUCAGUGAAGUAAGUUGGUUUGUGAUACCAACAUUAUUGUUUAGCAAGCUUUAAGUAAAAUUGGAUACAUGUACACACAUUAUAAUUUUUGUUGCAAGAUUUAGUUAAUAAUAUAAAACAGUUAUAUAUUUCUUUCUGAAUUGAAAGUGUCAAAACUGAAUUUACUCAAAUUGCGUGUGAUUAUAUAUAUAUAUAUAUAUAUAUAUAUACAUAAAUAAAUUAUAAAGAAUUGAAGAUUAAAAGAUAUUUUUAGUAAUUAAUUUUGAAUUAUAAAAUAAUAAAAAAAUAUGAAAACAUAACACGAAUAGGUUUACUUUAUUAUUUUAUUAUUUUAUUACUUAUUACUUAUUACUUUAGGGACCUAAUAGAAAUAAUUUGUAUUACAUUUAAAACUUAUUUUUAUUUUAACUUUCUUAGUUUUUUUUUGGUAUGAAAGACUUUAAUCUUUUUAAACUUUAGAAGUUAUAAGACAAAAGAACAUGAUUUUUAGAAUGAGAGUCACAAAAAGGCUUAAACCAAUAUUGCUAUUUUUAAAACUUUAAAGAAAUUAGGUGCAUUUGUAAUUAAAAAAAUUCACUCAAUUAAUUUUGGUUUAAAUUUUUAAAAUAAUAUCUCAUUAAAGAUAAUUAUAUUUUCAAUCUUAAUCUUUUGUCAAAUUAUUGGUAGAAAUAUUUCUAGUGCAAUCCACUUAUGUUAUUAGCAACAAUAAAAAAAUGUAAUUGAUUUUUAAUUUAAAAUUUUCAGAUAUUUUUUUUAUAGUUUAUUAUUUUUUUCUAUAUAUUUUUUCUUAUUUAUCAUUUAAAAAAUAAGAUUUAAAAAAUAUUAAAAAAAUUAUCAAAUUUUACUAUAUUUUAUAACAACUUGCAAUUUCCAACCAAGUUGAAAACAAUUAAGAAUAAAUAUCCCUCCUUCAUGGCUCCACUUUCCAUGUAAAAUCUGCACGAACAUAUACUCCAUUAAAUUUUAAAAACAAUACAAAGCUGUAUUAUCGAAGCUUCGACUCCCUAUGACACACGAAAUUUAGGUUUGCAAGUAGAAUUUUGCGAUCAUUUUUAGAACAAGAAUUGAUCGUGUUUCGGUUAUUGACAACGUUUGUCAUGCGAGAGAGACAAUGGAGAUGGAUUCCUUGCACAAAAAUAUUAGCAUUGUCGUGAUGGGGUGACGAGGUCGUUCAGUGGGUUGAUAGCAAUGUUC
rnacentral:lncRNA from 1 species